AUGAACGCUAGCGAUAGGCUUAAUACAUGCAAGUUGAGGGGCAGCAUGAUAUACGCGAGUAUAUUGAUGGCGACCGGCGGACGGGUGAGUAAUAGGUAGGAGACCUACCUCAUACAGGGGGAUAGCAUAGAGAAAUCUGUGGUAAUACCCCAGUGAGGUUAUAUGAAUAGAGGCAUAUAAUCAAAGCAUAAGCGAUUAUGCGGUAUGAGAGGGGCCUACUGACCAUUAGCUAGUUGGUGAGGUAAGGGCUCACCAAGGCGAAGAUGGUUAGGGGUUUUGAGAGAGAGACCCCCCACAUUGGAACUGAGAGACGGUCCAGACUCCUACGGGAGGCAGCAGUAGGGAAUAUUGGGCAAUGGGCGAAAGCCUGACCCAGCCAUGCCGCGUGAAGGAAGACGGCCUUAUGGGUUGUAAACUUCUUUACUACGCGAAUAGAGGUUAGUACGAGAUACUAAUAGGAAGGUAGUGUAGUAAAAAGCACCGGCUAACUCCGUG
rnacentral:rRNA from 1 species